rnacentral:rRNA from 1 species
GACGAACGCUGGCGGCAUGCCUAAUACAUGCAAGUCGAGCGGACAGAAGGGAGCUUGCUCCCGAAAGUCAGCGGCGGACGGGUGAGUAACACGUGGGCAACCUGCCCCUCAGAUUGGGAUAACUUCGGGAAACCGAAGCUAAUACCGAAUAAUACAAGGAACCUCCUGGUUCUCUGUUGAAAGAUGGCCUUUGUGCUGUCACUAAGGGAUGGGCCCGCGGCGCAUUAGCUAGUUGGUAAGGUAACGGCUUACCAAGGCGACGAUGCGUAGUCGAGCUGAGAGGGGGAUCGGCCACACUGGGAGUGAGACACGGCCCAGACUCCUACGGGAGGCAGCAGUAGGGAAUCUUCCGCAAUGGACGAAAGUCUGACGGAGCAAUGCCGCGUGAGUGAGGAAGGCCUUCGGGUCGUAAAGCUCUGUUGUGAGGGAAGAACAAGUACCGGCGUAACUACCGGUACCGUGACGGUACCUCACCAGAAAGCCACGGCUAACUACGUGCCAGCCGCCGCCGUAA